rnacentral:rRNA from 1 species
GCUUGCUGGGGGAUUAGUGGCGAACGGGUGAGUAACACGUGAGUAACCUGCCCUUGACUCUGGGAUAAGCCUGGGAAACUGGGUCUAAUACCGGAUACGACCAUCUGGCGCAUGUCAUGGUGGUGGAAAGCUUUUGUGGUUUUGGAUGGACUCGCGGCCUAUCAGCUUGUUGGUGGGGUAAUGGCCUACCAAGGCGACGACGGGUAGCCGGCCUGAGAGGGUGACCGGCCACACUGGGACUGAGACACGGCCCAGACUCCUACGGGAGGCAGCAGUGGGGAAUAUUGCACAAUGGGCGCAAGCCUGAUGCAGCGACGCCGCGUGAGGGAUGACGGCCUUCGGGUUGUAAACCUCUUUCAGUAGGGAAGAAGCGAAAGUGACGGUACCUGCAGAAGAAGCGCCGGCUAACUACGUGCCAGCAGCCGCGGUAAUACGUAGGGCGCAAGCGUUAUCCGGAAUUAUUGGGCGUAAAGAGCUCGUAGGCGGUUUGUCGCGUCUGCUGUGAAAGACCGGGGCUCAACUCCGGUUCUGCAGUGGGUACGGGCAGACUAGAGUGCAGUAGGGGAGACUGGAAUUCCUGGUGUAGCGGUGAAAUGCGCAGAUAUCAGGAGGAACACCGAUGGCGAAGGCAGGUCUCUGGGCUGUAACUGACGCUGAGGAGCGAAAGCAUGGGGAGCGAACAGGAUUAGAUACCCUUGGUAGUCCAUGCCGUAAACGUUGGGCACUAGGUGUGGGGGGACAUUCCACGGUUUUCCGCGGCCGUAGCUAACGCAUUAAAGUGGCCCGGCCUGGGGGAGUACCGGCCGCAAGG